rnacentral:rRNA from 1 species
UUCGCCAGGGAACAACGAGCCCCAGCUUAAAACCCAAAGGACUUGGCGGUGCUUUAGACCCCCCUAGAGGAGCCUGUUCUAGAACCGAUACCCCCCGUUCAACCUCACCCUCUCUUGUUUUCCCCGCCUAUAUACCGCCGUCGUCAGCUUACCCUGUGAAGGUCUAAUAGUAAGCAAAAUUGGCAAAGCCCAAAACGUCAGGUCGAGGUGUAGCGAACGAGAGGGGAAGAAAUGGGCUACAUUCACUGAUCCAGUAAAUACGGACGUUGCACUGAAAUAAGCAUCUAAAGGAGGAUUUAGCAGUAAGAGGGGAAUAGAGCGCCCCACUGAAAACGGCCCUGAAGCGCGCACACACCGCCCGUCACUCUCCCCAAAAAACAAAACAAUAUAACUAAUAAAAAUAAAAACACAAGGGGAGGCAAGUCGUAACAUGGUAAGUGUACCGGAAGGUGCACUUGGAAAAACC